UUUUUUUUUUUUUUUUUUUUUUUUUCUUUCUUUUUAGAGCCAUACUCAGGGCUUAAGGUAGUUCAGAUCUGAGCCAUAUCUGCAACCUAUACCACAGCUCAAGGCAACAGCGGAUCCCUAAACCACUGAGUGAGGCCAGGGAUUGAAACUGCGUCCUCAUGGAGGAGAAGAAAGCGAGGUGAAGUGGGGGUGGACCUCCAUCCCUUCCAGAAGUCCCCUGGGACACGUCUGAGCAGAUUGGCACGAUCCUAGCUAUAAGCCCAUGACCAAGACAAAAGGAGUGAACGAGUAUUUACUGUAAUAUAGCCUGGCCAAGGGCCUGAUGGGGCUGCCUGGGGCUCUGGCCUCCCAUGGCCCGUCUCUGGGAGGAGGAGGACUCCUGGGGAACCUGGCGGAGGCUGACCACUCCCCUGUGUGUGGGGAAGCAAGACCUACCCAGCUGGAAAAAGCCAGGCUUCUGUACUGAGAUGAUCCACAAAAAAUGGUGGAAAUGGUCCUUCGUGUUGUUUUUCACACCACUGCCCAAGCUGGACCCGUGUGCAGGCAUUGGUGAAUACAGGCUGACAGCCCAGGAACAGCCCUGGGUUCUAGACAAAGCCUGGGAGGUAGCGGGUUGCCUCCACCAGGAGGAUGCGGCCAACACCUGCUCCCCUGGGAUGCCCUGAACGGCUCCACAUCACACGUCAUCCAGAUGCAACACCCUCGUUCAUCUCCAAUCCCUGCUUCCCAGCUUGGAAGCUGCUAACCAGUCUCCCAGGCCAGACACAUCCCCCCUCAGCUGGUACUACUCCCAGAUCUUUCCAGACCCCCACCUGGAUGGCAGCUUUGGGGCUCAGCAGCCAGACUUCAUGUCCACGGAGUCUGCGUUUCCUUCAUGAGGCUCCACCUUGGAGUAAUGGGCUUGGGGUCUCCUUCCCAAACGGGGGAGAGGCACAUGUCCAGGCAAACCUGGGGGGAAGGGAGCAAACUGGUUCCCCCUGCCAUGUCAUCUUGUCCCCACUGCCUUGCUCUCCCCCCAGGGCCUCUCCCUGCUCACCUCUGCACCUGUCCUCCUCUGUGUGGGGCUGUGUCCCCUCAGGUGGCAUCUCCUUCUAGGGGUGGCUGCAGGGAGGAGAGGCCAGACCCCUUCAGGGUUUCUGUGAAGGAGGCCAUGGCCCUGAGGUGGGUCCUGGAUUCCCAGAGCCCCGAGCUUUGGUCGUGGGCUCCCACCCAAGGGCCCUGCUGCAGUGCUGGGCUGGAGAGCACAGGGCUCAAACCCACAGCUUUGGCACAGUUAUCUGGGUUCCCACUCCUAGUCAUGUGUUUUAGGGAAACACUAAAUCCCUGAGCCUUGGUAUCCUCAUCUGUAAAAUGGCGUUAGUAGCACAAGCCACAGUCCCUUUCUAAAACCAUUGGUUCAUACUCCAGAAUUCAGAAAUUUUCAGCCUCACCAGGUGACAUGGUACAUCUACGCAAUUUAACACGACACCCACCGGUGUUCGAAAAUACCUUGUAGUGAAGCACAGUAGUAAUCUUUCUGCAACUGCGCUUUUGUUGUUGUUGUUGUUGUUUAUUAAGUUAUUUUUAUUUUGUUCCCUGAUAGCUGGUUGACAGUGUUCUGUCAGUUUUCUACUGCACAGCAAGGUGACCCAAUUACACAUACAUAUAGGCAUUCUUUUUUCUCACCUUAUCACUCUCCAUCAUAAGUUGCAGCUGUACUUCUGAACGUUCAUACCAAGUGAAAGAAAUAAAGACCAUGAAGUAUUUCAUAU
rnacentral:lncRNA from 1 species